UUCUAGCAGUCGCAACAUGCAAUGUAUAGUCUCCUAGUUGUCGUGACGUCCUCGCAGUCCUUAUUUUAGUAGACGACCAAAUUCAUAGGCGGUUACUCCAUGGGCUCGUUCCCGGAGUGGGAGCCGUUCCAGUUCUUUCCGGCCGCGCGAUGGUGACGUAGGGUCAGAAUCUCAACCGGAACUUCAGUCUGUGAUCGCGAUUGUUAACUUGAAAGCGCCCCGUAGUUGUUUUUCAUUUGCAUAUUGCUUUACGACUGGAGUCCUCUUGCAGGUGGGAGAGAAAGUGUCCUAUCCGUUUUCUGCCGGCAUUACCUCCUCCCUGGCACCAAGCUAACUCUAUUCUAGGGAUCUGGAGGUUAAUGUAUGACGAAGGCACUGGUAUGCUAAGGUGGAUUCUUGGAAGCGCAUUUGUUGAUUUGUCCGCAUUUGCUUUGUGGAAAAGUUCCCACACUAGGGCUGCCCGUGCCAGCAGCAAGCCUGGUUGUCUAAAGGAUCAAUGCAUUCAGCUCAGCCUUUCCCAGCACAGCACUGCAGACUGUCAGAAACCAUCCCCAAGGCAGCAUCUUCAGGUGCAGGCACUAAAGGCUGGAGAAGAGCCACGGUCAAGGGCUCUGGACCCCGGGGGAGCUGGAUCUCAUGCUUCGACACCUGAAGUUGACUUGAACCCUUUCCUCAACCUCACUACUCACCCAAACUGGCCUCAAGUCCUGGCCGUUCUACUCCUAAACAUCUACAGCCUGUCACCUUCUUUCUGACCCCAUGGCUAUCUCUCCAGUCCAGUCCACCAUCUUCUCUCCCCCCUAAAUGGACUCCCCGCUUCCGCAGCUGCCUUCUCUGAUCCGUCCUCCACACUGCAGCCGGGCGAGCUUUCUGAAACAAUCUAGUGAGCUUCCCCAACUUCAGACCCUCCAGGCCCUCCCCAAGCCCUCAGGUUCAAGUCCAAAUGUGUGGCAUACAAGGUCGUGUGACAUUUGACCCCUGCCUGCCUCUCUGCCUCAGUUUGGCCAAGCCCACAGAGCUUCGUGACGCGGGCCUGGAAGUUCCUCCGAGCCCCCAGGCUCACUCGAGCCCCCACGCUUUUGCACUUACUGUGUCCUCAGCCUGGAUCCCUUCCUUUACUGCCCUGCCACACAAAGCCCUCCUUGCCCUACCUGUAGCAUCCUCGCCUCCGGGAAGCCCUCCUAGCUUCCAGCCUCCAUGGCACUCCCAUAGCCCCCCCGUGAGAUGCGGCCACAGCACUCAGCACACAGCACGGGCGUGUCUCCCCAUGCUGCUUCCUCCCACCCAAGAGUUCCCCGAGGCAGGGACUACCACUUUCCUUCACGCACAGGACCUAACACAAGAGUAUCCAGUAAAUAACGACCAACCAGCCUUCUCUGUCUGAAGAAUGAAUGUGUUUCCUGAGGAAGCCCAUCUAGAACAGAAAGGUCUGGGGACACCAAAUGGCCCUGUGUCUGCAGGACAGAGUGUGCUCAGGCCCAGUAGGAGAGGCAGCUGGACCCCAUGGAGGAAAGCCUCUCUCUUCCUCCCCCUCCCCUUCCCUCCCUCCCUUUCUCUCUCUCUCUCUCUCUCUGUGUGUCUCUCCCCCACCAUUAAAGAAUGUCUAUAAGGGAGAGAAUGUACAAACAAAUGGACAAGAGUAUCUUGAUCUUGAUCUUCUGUUUUUCACUGUAAAUGAGUUCAUGGACAUUCUGGACCCUGUGAGCCUGGUCCAUGAGCGUCCGCCAUGAGUCCAUUCUAGAUGUGCUGAUGAAGCUGACAACGCUGAGAGUACUUUCCAGAGAGAACCCAAGUUCACCAAGGGAAAAACCUUGUGGUCAAACCAUGGCCCAAAGGCCAGAUGCAUGGGUUCGAAUCCUGCUUCUGUCCCUUGCUAUGUCAUCUCGGGCAAGUUACUUAACCUCCCUGCGCUUCUGUGCUCACCUGGAACAUGGUGAUAUGAAAACAUACACCACCUAAGGUUGUUACCAGAAUGAAUGGCUUCAUAUAAAGCACUUAGCGGUGAGGGUUAGUCUUCACUGAACAACAGCAGUUGUCAUUAUGGCCUGUGGGGGUCUAUUUCCUCCCAGAAGACACAGUAUCCAGGGCAAUGACAUUUUCUCCAGAGUUUUCCUCCACGGAGGUGGGGAAAGGGUGAGGUAAGAGUCUGAGCAGUCAUCCCUGACAGUGAUCUUUGUAAGAGGGGAGAACCUGGGCAGUGGUGUGUUUUAGCAACUGGCUCUCCAUGGUUGGGGGAACUCUACUUCGGAGCAUACAUCAGUUUCCAUGGUGUGAAUACUCCCGCCAUGGCUAUUUCAACUAUUUCAAUUGGCUUGCGGAACGUCUGACAAUUUCACAAGUGUGCCGCUGGACCUGGGAAUCUCAGCUGACCUGUAGUGAGAUCAGCUCAGAAAAACCUGCCUUGAGCUAGAGAGACCAAGAGAAAAUGAAGAAGGGGGUCACCUUGUCUGGACAACCAACUGGGCCUUCUCUAGACUAAGCAAUGUUUCUCCAGGUGCGGUCCAUGGACCAUCUGCCAUGUUUGGUGUGUUUGUAAAAAUAAGUU